AGGAACUUAGGUGUAACCCAAACCGGAGACCUUCAAAGUCUAAAACAAGAGCACGACCUCUUAGUUCCUGCAU
rnacentral:tRNA from 1 species